UCGCCAUGCAUGUCUAAGUAUAAGCAAUUUAUACAGUGAAACUGCGAAUGGCUCAUUAAAUCAGUUAUCGUUUAUUUGAUAGUACCUUUACUACUUGGAUAACCGUGGUAAUUCUAGAGCUAAUACAGCUAAAAAUCCCGACUGUUUGGAAGGGAUGUAUUUAUUAGAUAAAAAAUCAAUGCUUUUCGGAGCUCUUUGAUGAUUCAUAAUAACUUUUCGAAUCGCAUGGCCUUGUGCUGGCGAUGGUUCAUUCAAUUUCUGCCCUAUCAACUUUCGAUGGUAGGAUAGUGGCCUACCAUGGUUUCAACGGGUAACGGGGAAUAAGGGUUCGAUUCCGGAGAGGGAGCCUGAGAAACGGCUACCACAUCCAAGGAAGGCAGCGGCGCGCAAAUUACCCAAUCCCGACACGGGGAGGUAGUGACAAUAAAUAACGAUACAGGGCCCUUUCGGGUCUUGUAAUUGGAAUGAGUACAAUGUAAAUACCUUAACGAGGAACAAUUGGAGGGCAGUCUGGUGCCAGCAGCCGCGGUAAUUCCAGCUCCAAUAGCGUAUAUUAAAGUUGUUGCAGUUAAAAAGCUCGUAGUUGAACCUUGGGCUUGGUUGGCCGGUCCGCCUUUUUGGCGAGUACUGGACCCACCGAGCCUUUCCUUCUGGCUAACCUUUCGCCCUUGUGGUGUUUGGCGAACCAGGACUUUUACUUUGAAAAAAUUAGAGUGUUCAAAGCAGGCCUUUGCUCGAAUAUAUUAGCAUGGAAUAAUAGAAAGGACGUUAUGGUUCUAUUUUGUUGGUUUCUAGGACCAUCGUAAUGAUUAAUAGGGACGGUCGGGGGCAUCAGUAUUCAGUUGUCAGAGGUGAAAUUCUUGGAUUACCUGAAGACUAACUACUGCGAAGCAUUUGCCAAGGACGUUUUCAUUAAUCAAGAACGAAAGUUAGGGGAUCGAAGAUGAUCAGAUACCGUCGUAGUCUUAACCAUAAACUAUGCCGACUAGGGAUCGGGUGUUGUUCUUUUUUUGACGACUCGGCACCUUACGAGAAAUCAAAGUCUUUGGGUUCUGGGGGGAGUAUGGUCGCAAGGCUGAAACUUAAAGGAAUUGACGGAAGGGCACCACCAGGAGUGGAGCCUGCGGCUUAAUUUGACUCAACCGGGGAAACUCACCAGGUCCAGACACAAUAAGGAUUGACAGAUUGAGAGCUCUUUCUUGAUUUUGUGGGUGGUGGUGCAUGGCCGUUCUUAGUUGGUGGAGUGAUUUGUCUGCUUAAUUGCGAUAACAACGAGACCUUAACCUACUAAAUAGUGCUGCUAGCUUUUGCUGGUAUAGUCACUUCUUAGAGGGACUAUCGAUUUCAAGUCGAUGGAAGUUUGAGGCAAUAACAGGUCUGUGAUGCCCUUAGACGUUUGGGCCGCACGCGCGCUACACUGACGGAGCCAACGAGUAUUAACCUUGGCCGAGAGGUCUGGGAAAUCUUGUGAAACUCCGUCGUGCUGGGGAUAGAGCAUUGUAAUUAUUGCUCUUCAACGAGGAAUCCUAGUAAGCGCAAGUCAUCAGCUUGCGUUGAUUACGUCCCUGCCCUUUGUACACACCGCCCGUCGCUACUACCGAUUGAAUGGCUUAGUGAGGCCUCCGGAUUGGUUUAAAGAAGGGGGCAACUCAUCUUGGAACCGAAAAGCUGGUCAAACUUGGUCAUUUAGAGGAAGUAAAAGUCGUAACAAGGUUUCCGUAGGUGAACCUGCGGAAGGAUCAUUACAGUAUUCUUUUUGCCAGCGCUUAAUUGCGCGGGAAAAAACCUUACACACAGUGUUUUUUGUUAUUACAAGAACUUUUGCUUUGGUCUGGACUAGAAAUAGUUUGGGCCAGAGGUUUACUGAACUAAACUUCAAUAUUUAUAUUGAAUUGUUAUUUAUUUAUUGUCAAUUUGUUGAUUAAAUUCAAAAAAUCUUCAAAACUUUCAACAACGGAUCUCUUGGUUCUCGCAUCGAUGAAGAACGCAGCGAAAUGCGAUAAGUAAUAUGAAUU
rnacentral:rRNA from 1 species